AGAGUUUGAUCCUGGCUCAGAACGAACGCUGGCGGCGUGGAUUAGGCAUGCAAGUCGAACGAGAACCUGAUGGUUCAAGUUUUCGGACAAGAACUAUUGGAGGACAGUGGCGGAAGGGUGAGUACAACAUGGGUAAUCUAUCUUCAAGUUGGGUAUAACUUUCCGAAAGGGGAGAUAAUGCCGAAUGUGGUGAUCCGACGCCUGUCGGAGAUUCUAAAGGUGGGGACCGUAAGGCCUGCCGCUUGAAGCCGAGCCCGUGCACUAUCAGCUAGUUGGUAGGGUAAUGGCCUACCAAGGCAAUGACGGUUAGCUGGUCUGAGAGGAUGGUCAGCCACACUGGGACUGAGAUACUGCCCAGACUCCUACGGGAGGCUGCAGUCGAGAAUCAUUCGCAAUGGGCGAAAGCCUGACGGUGCGACGUCGCGUGGAGGAUGAAGGUCUUCGGAUUGUAAACUCCUGUCAUGAGGGAUAAAUGGCCAGGGCAAUAAUACUGCCUUGGAAUGAUAGUACCUCAGGAGGAAGAGACGGCUAACUCUGUGCCAGCAGCCGCGGUAAUACAGAGGUCUCAAGCGUUGUUCGGAUUUACUGGGCGUAAAGGGAGCGUAGGCGGUUUGGUAUGUCGAAUGUGAAAGCCCACAACUCAACUGUAGAAAGCAUUUGAAACUGGAGAACUUGAGUUAAGGAGAGGAAAGUGGAAUUCCUAGUGUAGCGGUGAAAUGCGUAGAUAUUAGGAGGAACAUCAGUGGCGAAGGCGACUUUCUGGACUUAUACUGACGCUGAGGAACGAAAGCGUGGGGAGCAAACAGGAUUAGAUACCCUGGUAGUCCACGCCGUAAACGAUGAGUGCUAGGUGUCGGGGGUCAAACCUCGGUGCCGGAGCUAACGUAUUAAGCACUCCGCCUGGGGAGUACGUACGCAAGUAUGAAACUCAAAGGAAUUGACGGGGACCCACACAAGCAGCGGAGCAUGUGGUUUAAUUCGAAGAUACGCGAAGAACCUUACCAGGACUUGACAUACUAGUGAUCGGUGUAGAGAUACAUCUUUUCCUUCGGGAACACUAAUACAGGUGGUGCAUGGUUGUCGUCAGCUCGUGUCGUGAGAUGUUGGGUUAAGUCCCGUAACGAGCGCAACCCUUAUUUUUAGUUGCUACCAUUAAGUUGAGCACUCUAGAGAGACUGCCGUCGAUAAGACGGAGGAAGGCGGGGAUGACGUCAAAUCAUCAUGCCCCUUAUGUCCUGGGCUACACACGUGCUACAAUGGUCAGUACAACGGGCAGCUACACAGCGAUGUGAUGCUAAUCCCUUAAAGCUGAUCUCAGUUCGGAUUGUAGGCUGCAACUCGCCUACAUGAAGUCGGAGUUGCUAGUAAUUGCGGGUCAGAACACCGCAGUGAAUGAGUUCCUGGGUCUUGUACACACCGCCCGUCA
rnacentral:rRNA from 1 species